AUGAAAAAGCAUUCAAGGGAUUUAUCUUCACAAGCCAAUAAGGAAGAGUUCCAUCACACUCUAGAAGGUGCUAGGGACUGGCAUGUUAACAGAAGUAAAAUUUGUGGUACACCACUUCCGUUGUGGAUCAGUGAUGAUGGCGAAGAAAUUCUAGUUAUGGAUUCCAUUGAGAAACUUGAAAAGUUAUCUGGUGGCAAGGACGCUGUAAGGCUAUAUUUGGUAAAUUCUCAAGUUGCAUGGGUGCAGUCUCUACAUUUCAAAUUGAGUGGUAUUUCUGAUUCUGUGAAAGCUGUACUCCCCCGAUGGUAUAAUUUGUAUAAAUUUCUUGUCCAAAAUGCAAAGAAACUUCACAGCGAGGACCUCACAGCAUUUUCUCCCAUUGACCAUGCUUCACUUCUGAUGUCAUCCAAUGUGUUAGAUGGCUGGCUACACUCAGUAACUGUACGUCUCGUCAAAUUUGUUCGCCAAGAAAUGGAUGAUCCGCUUUACACGGUUGUGCCAUAUUUGGUAAAAUACAUUGACAAUCUUGCUGAAAUUUAUGUGCAUUUUAAUUACUUCCGUCUUGUCGGCUGUACUGACCGAGAGGACCAUAUAAUCUCUCUUUCAAUAAUCUACCAUGCCCUUGUGACAAUUUGUUUGGUAUUGGCUCCAUUUACACCCUUCUUUACUGAAGUUCUUUACCGAAAUCUACGCAAGGUGUCAAACAAGUCAGAGGAGAGCAUUCUUUUCUGCAAUUUUCCUUCAGAAACUGGGGAGAGAGAUGAGCGUCUUGAGCAAAGUGUAGAUAAGAUGACGAUUAUUGGGCUUGGCCACAAUAUUCGUGAACAGCACAAUAUAGCUCUUGAAGUACCACUGAAUGUUGUGACUGUCACUUCAUCUAAGAAACUCAAUAAGUACUCUGUUGCACGGGCUGAACCUAAUGGAAGUGUGCUAGGUGAAAGAUUGGGCAACGACCUGCACAAGGUAACAAAUAAAGUGAAGAAAAUGACCCAGAAACAAAUCUCAGCCUUUGAGAAAACUGGCGAGAUCUCAUUCUAUGAUCAUUGCCUGAAGCGAGAUGAUAUUAAGGUGGUUAGAGAUUUAAAGCCGGCAGUUUUAGCGAAUCAAGUUGGUGUCGCUAUAGAAGGUGAUAUCAUAGUUAUUUUGGAUCUCAGGGAUCAAAAUGCUGGAAUGGUUCUAGAGUGCAAAUCAGAGGAGAGGGAUGCCAGGCACCCACGUGUGGAUUGUGUGAGUCAACAAUCAGGAAAAAACUACAUUUCUGGAAUGGGAGUUCAAGGAUGGCUUCCUUAUUCUCCUCGCCCCCCUCUUCCUUCUCUUACUACUACUACUACCACCACCACCACCACCACUACAGAGGAGGAGGAAGAGGAGGAGGAGGAGGAGGAGGAGGAGGAGGAGGCAAAGCGGCUAGGUGUGGGCACUAAAGGAAAUUACAGAACCAAAGGUUCCGUUAUAGAUUCUGCAAUGAAAAAGUUUGAAAAAAUUGGGUCAGGAGGUUAUGGUACUGUCUACAAGGUAUGUAUGUAUGACACACUGGUUGCCAUUAAGAUCCUUCAUGCUGUAAGUGCAAUCGCGAAGAAGAAUGCGCAAUGUAUGAGAGCAUUUGACACAGAGGUGACUAUACUUGGUAAAAUUCAACAUCCUAAUCUUGUUCGAUUAAUUGGGGCAUGCAAAGAAAGGCUGGCAAUCGUUUAUGAGUUUCUUCCUAAUGGAACACUGGAUGAAAAAAUUCUCUUCCGCAGAGCCACAUUUACAUGGAGGGAGAGAGUCAAAGUUGCUUUUAGCAUAUGCGAUGCCCUUAUUUUCUUGCACAGCAGAUCAGAACCAGUUGCCCAUGGCGACUUGAAACCUAGCAACAUACUAUUUGAUGCAUCACAUAAUGUCAAGUUGGGGGAUUUUGGGAUAUCCCGUAUACUGAAAAAUACAAGCCACAGUGGUACUAAGAUGCAUGUGACCGGUGGUAAACGAGUUGGAACGCGUCAGUACGCUGAUCCAGAAUUUUUGAUGACUGGGCAGUUGACAUCACAGUCGGAUACAUUUGCUUUUGGAGUAAUUCUGAUUCAGCUUGUCACUGGUCGGUUUGCUGGCAUUAUUCAAUCUGUUAAAUCUCAGCUUUCUGAUUCUGGGUUCUGGAAAGAUGAUGAUCAGAAAAAUGCACUAAAAAAAACGAAAGUAAUUGAUGAGACAUUGCAAAUUUCAGAUAGUGAAAUUCUCGAGGUAAUAGAAAUGCUUAAGAUUGGUUUGGACUGUUGCAAUGAAAAACGAAAAGACCGUCCCAGUCUCGUGGAUAUUGUAUUUCCAAAGUUGAAAAUGUUGAAUGAAAAAACUGGUCAGUGCAAGGUGCCAGUUUGA
rnacentral:rRNA from 1 species